rnacentral:rRNA from 1 species
UACAGAGGGGUCAUCAGUGUUCGGUGAAUUACUGGGCGUAAAGCGCGCGUAGGCGGACCUGCAAGUCGGGGGUGAAAGCCCGAGGCUCAACCUCGGAACUGCCUUCGAUACUGCGGGUCUCGAGUCCGGGAGAGGUGAGUGGAAUUCCUAGUGUAGAGGUGAAAUUCGUAGAUAUUAGGAAGAACACCAGUGGCGAAGGCGGCUCACUGGCCGUCGUGACGCUGAGGCGCGAAAGCGUGGGGAGCAAACAGG